rnacentral:rRNA from 1 species
UACGUAGGUGGCAAGCGUUGUCCGGAAUUAUUGGGCGUAAAGCGCGCGCAGGUGGUUUCUUAAGUCUGAUGUGAAAGCCCACGGCUCAACCGUGGAGGGUCAUUGGAAACUGGGGAACUUGAGUGCAGGAGAGAAGAGUGGAAUUCCACGUGUAGCGGUGAAAUGCGUAGAGAUGUGGAGGAACACCGGUGGCGAAGGCGGGAUCCUGGGCCAGUACUGACGCUGAGGAGCGAAAGCGUGGGGAGCAAACAGG